UACAGAGGAGCCAAGCGUUGUCCGGAUUGACUGGGCGUAAAGCGCACGCAGGCGGUCGGGCGCGUGGGGUGUGAAAUCUGGCCGCUUAACGGCCAGGCGCCAUCCCAUACGGCUCGACUGGAGUGAUGCAGAGGUCGAUGGAAUUGCCGGUGUAGUGGUGAAAUGCGUAGAGAUCGGCAGGAACACCCAGGGGGAAACCAGUCGACUGGGCAUCUACUGACGCUGAGGUGCGAGAGCGGUGGGGAGCGAACCGG
rnacentral:rRNA from 1 species